rnacentral:rRNA from 1 species
GUGGGGAAUCUUCCGCAAUGGACGAAAGUCUGACGGAGCAACGCCGCGUGAGUGAAGAAGGUUUUCGGAUCGUAAAGCUCUUUCGUUAGGGACGAACGUGCUCUUUGUGAAUAAUGAGGAGUAAUGACGGUACCUAAAUAAGAAGCCACGGCUAACUACGUGCCAGCAGCCGCGGUAAUACGUAGGUGGCAAGCGUUGUCCGGCAUUAUUGGGCGUAAAGCGCGCGCAGGCGGGAUAUCAAGUCUGUCUUAAAAGUGCGAGGCUCGACCUCGUGAGGGGACAGAAACGGGUAUUCUUGAGUGUCGGAGAGGAAAGUGGAAUUCCAAGGGUAGCGGUGAAAGGCGUAGAGAUUUGGAAGAACACCAGUGGCGAAGGCGACUUUCUGGACGAUGUCGGACGCUGAGGCGCGAAAGCUAGGGGAGCGAACGGGAUUAGAUACCCGGGUAGUCC